UGGGGAAUAUUGGGGCAAUGGGGCGAAAGCCUGACCCAGCAACGCCGCGUGGAGGAAGAAGGUUUUCGGAUCGUAAACCCCUGUCCUCAGGGAAGAGGAGAAGACGGUACCCCUAGAAUAAGCCACGGCUAACUACGUGCCAGCAGCCGCGGUAAUACGUAGGUGGCAAGCGUUGUCCGGAUUUACUGGGUGUAAAGGGCGUGUAGCCGGGUCUGCAAGUCAGAUGUGAAAUCCAUGGGCUUAACCCAUGAACUGCAUUUGAAACUGUGGAUCUUGAGUGCUGGAGGGGCAAUCGGAAUUCCUAGUGUAGCGGUGAAAUGCGUAGAUAUUAGGAGGAACACCAGUGGCGAAGGCGGAUUGCUGGACAGUAACUGACGGUGAGGCGCGAAAGUGUGGGGAGCAAACAGGAUUAGAUACCCUGGUAGU
rnacentral:rRNA from 1 species